rnacentral:rRNA from 1 species
CCUACGGGAGGCACCAGUGGGGAAUAUUGCACAAUGGGCGCAAGCCUGAUGCAGCCAUGCCGCGUGUAUGAAGAAGGCCUUCGGGUUGUAAAGUACUUUCAGCGGGGAGGAAGGCGAUAAGGUUAAUAACCUUGUCGAUUGACGUUACCCGCAGAAGAAGCACCGGCUAACUCCGUGCCAGCAGCCGCGGUAAUACGGAGGGUGCAAGCGUUAAUCGGAAUUACUGGGCGUAAAGCGCACGCAGGCGGUCUGUCAAGUCGGAUGUGAAAUCCCCGGGCUCAACCUGGGAACUGCAUUCGAAACUGGCAGGCUGGAGUCUUGUAGAGGGGGGUAGAAUUCCAGGUGUAGCGGUGAAAUGCGUAGAGAUCUGGAGGAAUACCGGUGGCGAAGGCGGCCCCCUGGACAAAGACUGACGCUCAGGUGCGAAAGCGUGGGAGCAAACAGGAUUAGAUACCCUCGUA